AGUGAACGCUGGCGGUAGGCCUAACACAUGCAAGUCGAACGGCAGCACAGUAAGCGCUUGCUCUUACGGGUGGCGAGUGGCGGACGGGUGAGGAAUACAUCGGAAUCUACUUUUUCGUGGGGGAUAACGUAGGGAAACUUACGCUAAUACCGCAUACGACCUACGGGUGAAAGCAGGGGAUCUUCGGACCUUGCGCGAUUGAAUGAGCCGAUGUCGGAUUAGCUAGUUGGCGGGGUAAAGGCCCACCAAGGCGACGAUCCGUAGCUGGUCUGAGAGGAUGAUCGGCCACACUGGAACUGAGACACGGUCCAGACUCCUACGGGAGGCAGCAGUGGGGAAUAUUGGACAAUGGGCGAAAGCCUGAUCCAGCCAUGCCGCGUGGGUGAAGAAGGCCUUCGGGUUGUAAAGCCCUUUUGUUGGGAAAGAAAAGCAGCAGGUUAAUACCCCGCUGUUCUGACGGUACCCAAAGAAUAAGCACCGGCUAACUUCGUG
rnacentral:rRNA from 1 species